rnacentral:rRNA from 1 species
UACGGGGGGGGCAAGCGUUGUUCGGAAUUACUGGGCGUAAAGGGCUCGUAGGCGGCCAACUAAGUCGGAUGUGAAAUCCCCAGGCUUAACCUGGGAACUGCAUCCGAUACUGGAUGGCUUGAAUCCGGGAGAGGGAUGCAGAAUUCCAGGUGUAGCGGUGAAAUGCGUAGAUAUCUGGAGGAAUACCGGUGGCGAAGGCGGCAUCCUGGACCGGCAUUGACGCUGAGGAGCGAAAGCCAGGGG